CCUACGGGUGGCUGCAGUGGGGAAUAUUGCACAAUGGGCGCAAGCCUGAUGCAGCCAUGCCGCGUGUGUGGAGAAGGCCUUCGGGUUGUAAAGCACUUUCAGCGGGGAGGAAGGCGGUGAGGUUAAUAACCUCAUCGAUUGACGUUACCCGCAGAAGAAGCACCGGCUAACUCCGUGCCAGCAGCCGCGGUAAUACGGAGGGUGCAAGCGUUAAUCGGAAUUACUGGGCGUAAAGCGCACGCAGGCGGUCUGUCAAGUCGGAUGUGAAAUCCCCGGGCUCAACCUGGGAACUGCAUUCGAAACUGGCAGGCUAGAGUCUUGUAGAGGGGGGUAGAAUUCCAGGUGUAGCGGUGAAAUGCGUAGAGAUCUGGAGGAAUACCGGUGGCGAAGGCGGCCCCCUGGACAAAGACUGACGCUCAGGUGCGAAAGCGUGGGGAGCAAACAGGAUUAGAUACCCUAGUAGUC
rnacentral:rRNA from 1 species